rnacentral:rRNA from 1 species
CAGCCGCCACGGGAAUACGAAGGGUGCAAGCGUUACUCGGAAUUACUGGGCGUAAAGCGCGCGUAGGUGGUUUGUUAAGUUGGAUGUGAAAUCCCCGGGCUCAACCUGGGAACUGCAUCCAAAACUGGCAGGCUAGAGUAGGGCAGAGGGUGGUGGAAUUUCCUGUGUAGCGGUGAAAUGCGUAGAUAUAGGAAGGAACACCAGUGGCGAAGGCGACUACCUGGACUGAUACUGACACUGAGGUGCGAAAGCGUGGGGAGCAAACAGGAUUAGAUACCCCUGUAGUCCCUGUCUCUUAUAA